rnacentral:rRNA from 1 species
ACAGAAGAAGCACCGGCUAACUCCGUGCCAGCAGCCGCGGUAAUACGGAGGGUGCGAGCGUUAAUCGGAAUUACUGGGCGUAAAGCGCAUGCAGGUGGUUUGUUAAGUCAGAUGUGAAAGCCCGGGGCUCAACCUCGGAACUGCAUUUGAAACUGGCAGACUAGAGUACUGUAGAGGGGGGUAGAAUUUCAGGUGUAGCGGUGAAAUGCGUAGAGAUCUGAAGGAAUACCGGUGGCGAAGGCGGCCCCCUGGACAGAUACUGACACUCAGAUGCGAAAGCGUGGGGAGCAAACAGGAUUAGAUACCCUGGUAGUCCACGCUGUAAACGAUGUCUACUUGGAGGUUGUGGCCUUGAGCCGUGGCUUUCGGAGCUAACGCGUUAAGUAGACCGCCUGGGGAGUACGGUCGCAAGAUUAAAACUCAAAUGAAUUGACGGGGGCCCGCACAAGCGGUGGAGCAUGUGGUUUAAUUCGAUGCAACGCGAAGAACCUUACCUACUCUUGACAUCCAGAGAAGCCAGCGGAGACGCAGGUGUGCCUUCGGGAACUCUGAGACAGGUGCUGCAUGGCUGUCGUCAGCUCGUGUUGUGAAAUGUUGGGUUAAGUCCCGCAACGAGCGCAACCCUUAUCCUUGUUUGCCAGCGAGUAAUGUCGGGAACUCCAGGGAGACUGCCGGUGAUAAACCGGAGGAAGGUGGGGACGACGUCAAGUCAUCAUGGCCCUUACGAGUAGGGCUACACACGUGCUACAAUGGCGCAUACAGAGGGCGGCCAACUUGCGAAAGUGAGCGAAUCCCAAAAAGUGCGUCGUAGUCCGGAUUGGAGUCUGCAACUCGACUCCAUGAAGUCGGAAUCGCUAGUAAUCGUGGAUCAGAAUGCCACGGUGAAUACGUUCCCGGGCCUUGUACACACCGCCCGUCACACCAUGGGAGUGGGCUGCAAAAGAAGUGGGUAGUUUAACCUUCGGGAGGACGCUCACCACUUUGUGGUUCAUGACUGGGGUGAAGUCGUAACAAGGUAGCGCUAGGGGAACCUGGCGCUGGAUCACCUCCUUA